rnacentral:rRNA from 1 species
GAUGAACGCUGGCGGCGUGCCUAAUACAUGCAAGUCGAGCGAACAGACGAGGAGCUUGCUCCUCUGACGUUAGCGGCGGACGGGUGAGUAACACGUGGAUAACCUACCUAUAAGACUGGGAUAACUUCGGGAAACCGUAGCUAAUACCGGAUAAUAUAUUGAACCGCAUGGUUCAAUAGUGAAAGACGGUUUUGCUGUCACUUAUAGAUGGAUCCGCGCCGCAUUAGCUAGUUGGUAAGGUAACGGCUUACCAAGGCAACGAUGCGUAGCCGACCUGAGAGGGUGAUCGGCCACACUGGAACUGAGACACGGUCCAGACUCCUACGGGAGGCAGCAGUAGGGAAUCUUCCGCAAUGGGCGAAAGCCUGACGGAGCAAAGCCGCGUGAGUGAUGAAGGUCUUCGGAUCGUAAAACUCUGUUAUUAGGGAAGAACAAAUGUGUAAGUAACUAUGCACGUCUUGACGGUACCUAAUCAGAAAGCCACGGCUAACUACGUG